rnacentral:ncRNA from 1 species
CGACAAAAGCAAAACUAGAGUAAUCUAGUGACGCAAAACUAUAGGGUCUUAACCAAUAAUUAAGAUAGCCAGCUGCCGAA